GAUGAAGAACGCAGCAAAAUGCGAUACUUGGUGUGAAUUGCAGAAUCCCGUGAACCAUCGAGUUUUUGAACGCAAGUUGCGCCCGAAGCCUUUUGGCCGAGGGCACGUCUGCCUGGGCGUCACGCAUCGCGUCGCCCCCCACAAUUCUCCGUAAAGGGAACAUGUGUUUUGGGGGCGGAUAUUGGUCUCCCGUGCUCAUGGCGUGGUUGGCCGAAAUAGGAGUCCUUUCGAUGGACGCACGAACUAGUGGUGGUCGUAAAAACCCUCGUCUUUUGUUUCGUGCUGUUGGUCGCAAGGUAAACUCUUUAAAAACCCCAAUGUGUCGUCUCUUGACGACGCUUCGACCGCGACCCCAGGUCAGGCGGGACUACCCGCUGAGUUUAAGCAUAUCAAUAAGCGGAGGA
rnacentral:misc_RNA from 1 species